rnacentral:ncRNA from 1 species
AAAAAGUCAUGGAACGGGAGAGUAACCGAAUUACCCAUGUUUUAGCGAGCCGGGAGGGUGGAAGCCGGUACAGAGGGAUUUGGCGAAGCGGACCCGGGAGACGGGCUGCCGAAAGCGCAUCAUGUAGGCUGCCCCGGCGCAAACCGUUAUUUGUUCAAGCGGCCUGACCGGCCUGAAGGGGGUUCCCUUGUCAUGCUGUCCGGUUCAGGCAACAAGAGUGGCACCGCGAGUCCCUGUCCUCGUCUCUUAA